AAGUCGUAACAAGGUUUUCAUGGCAAAUUGAUCUUUCCGCUUGUUAAUUGCAACAUAUUAACAAGGUUCAUUUGCUGAAGCUUUAGUGUCUUUUCUAUAGGCUUUUUUUUACAUUUUCCCCUACUACAAAAUAUUUAACCAACCUAUUUCACCUUAACAACCCUAUUUUGACUGAUGUACGUUGAUAGUAAAGAAAUUUACUGGAUCAACACCAUUUAUCUAAACUAAGCACAACUCUUAGCAAUGGAUAUCUUGGUUCUC
rnacentral:misc_RNA from 1 species